rnacentral:rRNA from 1 species
GACAGAGGGUGCAAACGUUUGUUCGGAAUUACUGGGCGUAAAGCGUGUGUAGGCGGCUACGUAAGUCGGAUGUGAAAGCCCCAGGCUCAACCUGGGAAGUGCACUCGAUACUGCGUAGCUUGAGUAUCGGAGAGGUUGGUGGAAUUCUCGGUGUAGAGGUGAAAUUCGUAGAUAUCGAGAGGAACACCGGUGGCGAAGGCGGCCAACUGGACGAAUACUGACGCUGAGACACGAAAGCGUGGGGAGCAAACAGG